CCCGGUGUUAUGAUGAUACUCCAGCACAAUGCAUAGUUCAUCUGAAUCCUAUGAUGAAAACUUCUUCUUAUAGUCUUUCGCUCCCAUCUGACAACACCAUU
rfam:Glomerella graminicola M1.001 genomic scaffold supercont1.9, whole genome shotgun sequence.